AUGUGUGUGAGUCAGAUGAGUAGGGAAUAUGAUAAUAUGAAGGCCCCGGAAAAUAUCACUAUUCAUACAAAAGAACAUACUGGUGCAUCUCCCGUUCCUGGAAUAGAAAGAACUGCAGUUAAUGAGGAGGUUAUUCAACCUCAGCCCAUUGUUACGGAAAGUUUUGCUCAUCCACAGGCCAGCACCUUCGGUUCGGAUGUUUUGCAGAAAGACCAUUCAUACUUACCUGCUGAUAUCCCCAAACCAAGCAGCGAACCAGAAGCUAUCACUUUGCUGGACAAUUUGGUUGAGGCAGAGCACAACAACUCCGGUUUGACUCUUCUUCAAACCCACCAUUCAAACUUACCUGCUGCUCAGUCUAAACCAACAACUGAACCAACACCUAUCACUUUACCAAUAGCUCAAUCAUCACCAAUGGAAUGCCAAGAAAUGGCUCAAUCUGAUAAAGAAGAACUUGACAAGUGUGUCGAAAUGAUUCUCUUUAUGAGUUCGGACAUGCCCAGCAAUAUGAAUGAGAACCAAGAAAUUGCCUCCCAUGGAAUUGAGAACAACUUAGCCCUAAGUCAUCAUAUCAAGGAAGUGCUGACCGAAAACUUAGAACAAUCUUUUGCAUUAGCAGAAAUGCAGACUCAGUGCACUGCAGGAGACGUAGAAUCAUCAUCUUCUAUCAGUACACAAGAAGUCUUUGCAGACCCAUCCCAAAUUGAGCUAACUGGACAAAAUGAACAUGAAUCCGAGGACCAUCCCUCCGACAGUUCAAGUGAAGCUGUAAGCUCUGAGCGCACUGAAGACGAUGAUAUCUCAAAUUUUGGGCAGCAAGUUUCAGACUCACAUACUUGUCGUUUAACUCUAAGACACAACUUGAGAGAUGUACAGAUAGUUGACAUUGCGGAUGAACCUUCAUCUCCUAAAACAAUUGAUUGUAAGCACAUUCGUCAGCUUGAUGAUCCAUUAUCAGACGGAGAAAGUUUUGUUUAUGCUGGUAGCAUCAAUGAAUCCAUGAGGAGUAGAAAACAGCGUUAUCAGAAGAAAUAA
rnacentral:rRNA from 1 species